GCUCCUUUUUGUUAGUGCUACAGAUGACUUUUUUAUUGUGGCAGUUGACAGCUUGAGUAAAUGGCAUUAGUUUAUGGGUUUUGAACCAAGUUAGUUUAUUACAGAAGUAGCCCUAGCAGAUCAAUGUGCCAAUGUUAUUCAUUAAAUCAGAACUUGUAUAGCUCUAUUGCAAAUUAACAUAUAUGUUCUAUGAGGGGGAUAAUUGGUUGGUUAGUUGUAACACUGUCUUCCUGAAUCAUUGGUUGUCCAAGGCAGAAGUUUAUUCCUUUAUUGGCCG
rnacentral:misc_RNA from 1 species